rnacentral:misc_RNA from 1 species
UUAUUAUUAUGUGUUGUACAUACUAGACUAGUGUAGAUGUAAGCCGCAGGGUGCACGUGGUGUUCACAUGAGUGUGCUUGUAUUAUGCAUGCACACCCACACUCCCCACAUGCCACUCCUGCCAUCAUGUGCACUGUGUUAAUAUCGAGUUGGGCUCUUUCGACACCCAUUUCAAUAAUGAUCCUUCCGCAGGUUCACCUACGGAAA